CACUAUACGGCGCCCCUGCUCCUAACAGAGUAUUUUUACAGUGAAGUCUGGAUGAGAAACUGUCGGACGUGUUUCUGUGUUUCCUGUCCGACACUCCCACCUGCCGACUGACCGCGCUCCGACAGGACGCUGUCCCACAAUGCAUCACUGUGCAGGAGCAGCUCACAGCAGGAAAAACUCCACAGAGCUUUACAGUUUCUGAUCCCAAAGUUUUAAAGAUAAAAGACAUUAUAUUUAAAAAGGACACAGUUCUGUUUCUCGUAAACGAGGUUUUUAUGAUUGAACAUGCAGCUGCGGAACAUUCGUUAAGACACCAACAGCCGGUUAAGGUCACAGUUUUAAAACUCUGCACCGACUCUGAAGAACACCAAGACGCCCGGUUUCUGCUCGUCUGCAUGAACGCGCCUUAGACACGAUGCUGCGAGGCGGCCUGAGGACUGCAGAUGUGGCCGGGGCCCGAGACAGGAAGGACAGCUGAUCGUCUCGCAGAUCACGUCCAGGAUCGGGCCUGUAGGCCUGUUGGAAGGCAGGUCCGCAACGGACCGGAUCAGCAGCCUCUGGGCACAAACCCACCUUCGCUGGACCAGACGGGACCCGCAGCAGACCAGAGUACUUUGAUUUUGACCCCCCUUUUCUCAGGGCCACAUUGUUGGACACAUGUCUGAAACUUCUGUCUUAGCUGUUCAAACAAAUAUGUAGACGCGUUGAGUUUGCUGAAAAUAAAAGCAGUUGAACGUGA